GACGAACGCUGGCGGCGUGCUUAACACAUGCGAGUCGAACGAAGAGCGAUGGAAGCUUGCUUCUCUCAAUCUUAGUGGCGAACGGGUGAGUAACGCGUAAUCAACCUGCCCUUCAGAGGGGGACAACAGUUGGAAACGACUGCUAAUACCGCAUACGAUCUAAUCUCGGCAUCGAGGAUAGAUGAAAGGUGGCCUCUACAUGUAAGCUAUCACUGAAGGAGGGGAUUGCGUCUGAUUAGCUAGUUGGAGGGGUAACGGCCCACCAAGGCGAUGAUCAGUAGCCGGUCUGAGAGGAUGAACGGCCACAUUGGGACUGAGACACGGCCCAGACUCCUACGGGAGGCAGCAGUGGGGAAUCUUCCGCAAUGGACGAAAGUCUGACGGAGCAACGCCGCGUGAGUGAUGACGGCCUUCGGGUUGUAAAGCUCUGUUAAUCGGGACGAAAGGCCUUCUUGCGAAUAGUGAGAAGGAUUGACGGUACCGGAAUAGAAAGCCACGGCUAACUACGUG
rnacentral:rRNA from 1 species